rnacentral:rRNA from 1 species
GACGAACGCUGGCGGCGUGCUUAACACAUGCAAGUCGAACGGAAAGGCCCUGCUUUUGUGGGGUGCUCGAGUGGCGAACGGGUGAGUAACACGUGAGUAACCUGCCCUUGACUUUGGGAUAACUUCAGGAAACUGGGGCUAAUACCGGAUAGGAGCUCCUGCUGCAUGGUGGGGGUUGGAAAGUUUCGGCGGUUGGGGAUGGACUCGCGGCUUAUCAGCUUGUUGGUGGGGUAGUGGCUUACCAAGGCUUUGACGGGUAGCCGGCCUGAGAGGGUGACCGGCCACAUUGGGACUGAGAUACGGCCCAGACCCCUACGGGAGGCAGCAGUGGGGAAUAUUGCACAAUGGGCGGAAGCCUGAUGCAGCAACGCCGCGUGCGGGAUGACGGCCUUCGGGUUGUAAACCGCUUUCGCCUGUGACGAAGCGUGAGUGACGGCAAUGGGUAAAGAAGCACCGGCUAACUACGUG